UAGGGAAUCUUCCGCAAUGGACGCAAGUCUGACGGAGCAACGCCGCGUGAGUGAAGAAGGAUUUCGGUUCGUAAAACUCUGUUGUUAGAGAAGAACAGCGCAUAGAGUAACUGUUAUGCGUGUGACGGUAUCUAACCAGAAAGCCACGGCUAACUACGUGCCAGCAGCCGCGGUAAUACGUAGGUGGCAAGCGUUGUCCGGAUUUAUUGGGCGUAAAGCGAGCGCAGGCGGUCAAUUAAGUCUGAUGUGAACGCCCCCGGCUCAACCGGGGAGGGUCAUUGGAAACUGGUUGACUUGAGUGCAGAAGAGGAGAGUGGAAUUCCAUGUGUAGCGGUGAAAUGCGUAGAUAUAUGGAGGAACACCAGUGGCGAAGGCGACUCUCUGGUCUGUAACUGACGCUGAGGCUCGAAAGCGUGGGUAGCAAACAGG
rnacentral:rRNA from 1 species